rnacentral:rRNA from 1 species
UAGUCCACGCCGUAAACGAUGGAUACUAGCUGUCCGGGUCCUUGAGGCCUGGGCGGCCAAGCGAAAGUGAUAAGUAUCCCACCUGGGGAGUACGUUCGCAAGAAUGAAACUCAAAGGAAUUGACGGGGGCCCGCACAAGCGGUGGAGCAUGUGGUUUAAUUCGAUGAUACGCGAGGAACCUUGCCAGGGCUUAAAUGCAUAUUGACAGGGUCAGAGAUGGCCUUUCCUUCGGGCAAUUUGCAAGGUGCUGCAUGGUUGUCGUCAGCUCGUGCCGUGAGGUGUCAGGUUAAGUCCUAUAACGAGCGCAACCCCUACCGUUAGUUGCCAGCAUGUUAUGAUGGGGACUCUAGCGGGACUGCCGGUGCAAACCGAGAGGAAGGUGGGGAUGACGUCAAAUCAUCACGGCCCUUACGUCCUGGGCUACACACGUGCUACAAUGGUAACGACAGAGGGCAGCCACCCCGCGAGGGGGAGCGAAUCCUUAAACGUUAUCUCAGUUCGGAUCGGAGUCUGCAAC